rnacentral:rRNA from 1 species
AGCACCGGCUAACUCCGUGCCAGCAGCCGCGGUAAUACGGGGGGUGCAAGCGUUAAUCGGAUUUAUUGGGCGUAAAGGGCGCGCAGGCGGCCUGGUAAGUCAGAUGUGAAAGCCCGGGGCUCAACCCCGGAAGUACAUUUGAAACUAUCAGGCUUGAGUAUGGGAGAGGGAAGUGGAAUUCCUGGUGUAGCGGUGAAAUGCGUAGAUAUCAGGAGGAACACCGGUGGCGAAGGCGACUUCCUGGACCAAUACUGACGCUGAGGCGCGAAGGCGUGGGUAGCAAACAGGAUUAGAUACCCUGGUAGUCCACGCAGUAAACGUUGAUCACUAGGUGUAGCGGGUCUUUACCCCUGCUGUGCCGAAGCUAACGCAUUAAGUGAUCCGCCUGGGGAGUACGAUCGCAAGGUUAAAACUCAAAGGAUAUUUGACAG